GAUGAACGCUGGCGGCGUGCCUAAUACAUGCAAGUAGAACGCUGAAGGAAGGAGCUUGCUCUUUCCGGAUGAGUUGCGAACGGGUGAGUAACGCGUAGGUAACCUGCCUGGUAGCGGGGGAUAACUAUUGGAAACGAUAGCUAAUACCGCAUAACAGUAGAUGUUGCAUGAUAUCUACUUAAAAGGUGCAAUUGCACCACUACCAGAUGGACCUGCGUUGUAUUAGCUAGUUGGUGAGGUAACGGCUCACCAAGGCGACGAUACAUAGCCGACCUGAGAGGGUGAUCGGCCACACUGGGACUGAGACACGGCCCAGACUCCUACGGGAGGCAGCAGGAGGGAAUCUUCGGCAAUGGACGGAAGUCUGACCGAGCAACGCCGCGUGAGGGAAGAAGGGUUUCGGAUCGUAAAGCUCUGUUGUAAGAGAAGAACGAGUGUGAGAGUGGAAAGUUCACACUGUGACGGUAUCUUACCAGAAAGGGACGGCUAACUACGUG
rnacentral:rRNA from 1 species